rnacentral:lncRNA from 1 species
UUGAAGAAAUAUACACCAGUAGGUUCCUAGAACAAAUUUAAAAAUUAUUAGCAAAUACUUUGUAACAUUUUUGUAAAUGAGUUGCAAACAAGAAAACAAGAGAAAGGUCCUACUGUAUAGCACAGGGAACUAUAUGAAAUGUCCUCUAAUAAACCAGAAUGUAAAUGAAUAUGAGAAAGAAAAUAUAUACAUAUAACUGAAUCACAUUGCUGAACACCAGAAACUAAUACAAACUUGUAAAUCAACUAUAUUUUAAUUUUAAAAAGGAUAUAAUAGAAAGAGAAGAUUAUUACCAGAAUGAACCCUAGUUACCAUAUUGAAAGAGACACAAAACAUUUCAGUGUGUUUGAGUUCCUGUUGUGGUGCAGUGGUUAACGAAUCUGACUAGGAACCAUGAGGUUGCAGGUUCGAUCCCUGGCCUUGUUCAGUGGGUUAAGGAUCUGGCGUUGUCAUGAGCUGUGGUGUAGGUUGCUGUGCCUCUGGCAUAGGCUGGCGUCUACAGCUCUGAUUCAACCCCUAGCCUGGGAAAAUCUCCAUGUGCCAUGGAAGCGGCCCUAGAAAAGGCAAAAAGACAAAAAAUAAAUAAAUAAAUAAAUAGAUAGAUAAUAAAAAAAAAUUAAAAAAUUUCAGUGUCUGGAAAGCUAUAAAAGCAGUUUUAAAGAUUUAGGUUACCAAAGUGAUGGGAGAAAAAAAAUUGAAAACAGAAGAGAUAGGAAGCCAUUUUAGCUAUAUCUGAAAUAUUUUAUUUAUUUUUGAAAGGUCCAAAAUCUUAACACAUAGCCCUCUUUUAUAUGCAGAUUGGUUUGAAAUAUCUCCUAAUUUGAAAUAAUAAUGGUAAGAGGUAUGUUGGACACAGAUUUAAAAGAGCUCUGUUUACUUCAUGUGAAUAGGCAGCUCAAAUGGCCCCUAUAUUUGUAGAAAGGACGAGAAGUCAAAUUGUGAUGAGAAAAGCUACAGUUAAAUAUUAGGGAAAAUGUAGAUAUUCAACUGAAAACAAGGCCAAUUUGGUGUUGGAGAGGAGAGUGAUCUCAUGAUUUAUUUGCUCAUUUAAGUAGAGAAUGGUUAUUUCAGGUUGAAGACAGUAAAUUACUCUGAAGUCCUACCCAUUUGUGCUUGUUGGGGCUUCUGAGUGACUUUACUUUUGUGGAUAAUAAGGUGAUGACUCAGCCACAGCUCACAGAACUCCAAAUCCCACAUCCCAGGAGGUAGCUGAAGAAAAGGCAGCUUCUCAGAAGCCUCUCCAAACCAGCAUGUCUCCAAGGUCUGUCUUGAGUGUCACAGCCAAUAUCACCAGCUCCAGGCCCCACUUCCAGACUUGAUGACCACAUAACAAGCCCUCACCAAGCACUGCUAAGAUGUUAUGAGGCCAUAAAGACACAGAGGUUUAUGUCAACACCAGGAGUCGAGGGGUCCUGCCUCUGCAGGACCUCUGUACUUUGCAAACAAAGACACCUGAGAUUGUACAUGUGGGUUUAUCUGUGAACUGGACUUGAUCUCCCCAAACCCCAGGCUUACUAUAGUUCUGUAAUAACAGGCAUGUUGGAAUGAAUGCAGAAAAACUCCUUGUUUUCAGAUACAUCCCAACCCAAAACAGAAGGGAAGGGAUACAGGAUGCUUAGUCAACAGAACACAUUCUGUGCAUGUUGGGGUGUUAAUGGAGGUACAAGAGGGAAAAAAUAGAAGAUGCAAAAGGGUGAGGUCCUGGGAACAGAAGAGGGGAUGGGGGAGCAGUUUGCUACAAGUAGCGAUCACAAAACGAAGGCCAUUGGAAUAUGUUCUGGCCAUGACUUUAUAGAAAAACCCUAGGGAGGAGCUUUUAGGAGAAUGGCUUCCCUACUGAGGAAGAGAGACAGAAGGGCAUCUAAAAGUAAAAUCAUGAUGUGGAAACAGCUCAUCAGAGAUCUAUGUAAACCUUUGGCAGAUUGCCCAGGUGGCCACUGCCCUCAUAUCUCUCCUUGUGGGAUUUUCUGUGGAAUGUCCCUCCAGUUCUGUCUGUUAAAAUUCCACCCAGCUUCUCCCCUCCAAUGAAUUUGUGCGUGUGUGUGUUUGUGUCUUUUUAGGACCCCACCCAUGGCAUAUGGAAGAUCCCAGGCUAGGGGUUGAAUUGGGGCUACAGCUGCUGGUUUACACCACAGCCACAGCAAUUUGGGAUCUAAGCAACAUCUGUGACCUACACCAUAGCUCACAGCAAUGCUGGAUCCUUAACCCACUGAGUGAAGCCAGGAAUUGAACCUGUGUACUCAUGGAUGAUAGUCAGAUUCAUUUUGGCUGAGUCAUCAUGGGAACUCCUGAUGAGCCAUUUUUAUUGUUUUUUAUUUUUAUUUUUAAUUUUGUUUUAUUAUUUUAAAAAUCAAUUUUGUUUGAAUACAAUUACAUAUAUGAAGUGCAGAGAUUUUAGGUACACAUUUCAGUCAGUUCUUUUUUAACCUUUUCUCUUCUUUUGUUAAAAUUUUAUUUAUUCAUUUAUUUGCUUUUUAGGGCUGCACCUGUGGCAUAUGGAAGUUUCUGGGCUAGGGGUGUAAUCCACUAUAGCUGCCAGCUACAUCACAGCCACAGCAACACUGGAUCCGAGCUGCAUCUGUCUGUGAAUCUACACCACAGCUCACAGCAAUGCCGGAUCUGAGCAAGGCCAAGGAUCAAACCCAUAUCCUCAUGGAUACCAGUUGGGUUCAUUAACCACUGAGCCACAAUGGGAACUCCUCAAUGUUUCUUUUUUAAAGGACAUUAAAAUAGCUUACCAUUCAGAGAAU